GUGAGGAAUAUUGGUCAAUGGGCGCAAGCCUGAACCAGCCAUGCCGCGUGCAGGAAGACGGUCCUAUGGAUUGUAAACUGCUUUUAUUUGGGAAUAAACUCCGGUACGUGUACCGGCCUGAAGGUACCAAAUGAAUAAGCACCGGCUAACUCCGUGCCAGCAGCCGCGGUAAUACGGAGGGUGCAAGCGUUAUCCGGAAUCAUUGGGUUUAAAGGGUCCGCAGGCGGUCUUAUAAGUCAGUGGUGAAAGCCUACAGCUCAACUGUAGAAAUGCCAUUGAUACUGUAGGACUUGAAUUCGAUCGAAGUGGGCGGAAUGUGACAUGUAGCGGUGAAAUGCUUAGAUAUGUCACAGAACACCGAUAGCGAAGGCAGCUCACUAGGUCUGGAUUGACGCUCAGGGACGAAAGCGUGGGGAGCAAACAGGAUUAGAUACCCCGGUAGUCC
rnacentral:rRNA from 1 species